rnacentral:rRNA from 1 species
AAGCCCCGCAAGGGGUGAGUAAAGUGGCGUACGGGUGAGUAACACGUGGGUAAUCUGCUCUUUGGUGGGGAAUAACCCUGGGAAACCGGGGCUAAUACCGCAUAAGCUCGCAAGAGGAAAGGUGCAAAUCGCCGAAGAAGGAGCCCGCGGCUGAUUAGCUAGUUGGUGAGGUAAUGGCUCACCAAGGCGAAGAUCGGUAGCCGGCCUGAGAGGGCACACGGCCACACUGGCACUGAAACACGGGCCAGACUCCUACGGGAGGCAGCAGUGGGGAAUCUUGCACAAUGGGGGCAACCCUGAUGCAGCGACGCCGCGUGAGCGAUGAAGCCCUUCGGG